GCUCCCAGUGAUGCUCAAAUAUGAACCAUGCUAAUGCUGAACAUUGAUGACUAAAACUCUUUCUCAAUAUUUCUGAGGUAACA
rnacentral:snoRNA from 1 species